GCCAAAAAGGGGCCAAAAAUAAGCAUUUUUCUAGUUUCCAGACAAUAACUUGUGUUCAAGUGUAUGGAUCUCUCUGAAAUUGUACUGCAAGGUACCAUACCACAAAGGAAAGGCUGGGAUUGAUUUUGGGGGUAAUUGCCUCAAAAUUUUAGGAAUUAGGGGCAAAAAAGGGGCAAAAAACAAGCAUUUUUCUAGUUUCAGGACAAUAACUUGUGUGUAAGUGUAUGGAACUUUAUGAAAUUGUACUACAAGGUUCCAUAUCACAAAGGGAAAGCUGGGUUUAAGUUUGGGGGUAAUUGCCCUAAAAGUUUAGGAAUUUGGGGCCAAAAAGGGGCCAAAAAACAAGCAUUUUUCUAGUUUCAAGACAAUAACUUGUGUUCAAGUGUAUGGAUCUCUCUGAAAUUGUACUGCAAGGUACCAUACCACAAAGGGAAGGCUGGGAUUGAGUUUGGGGGUGACGAAUCAUAAGGGGGUUCAAAAAAUUUGGGGGAGGGAUUUUAUUUUCCUUUUUUUCCUUUUUUUUCUUUAAAAUUUUCCAUUUUAAAUUGGUUAUUUCUGAUUUAUAUAUAAAGGCAAAUAAUAAUGAUAUGGUUUGAAUAGUUAGAUAAAAUUUUUUUUAGUUCUUAGACCACAUUCAUUCUGUGUCAGAAACCUAUGCUGUGUCAAAUAUUUAAUCACAAUGCAAAUUCAGUGCUGUAUCAAGCUUGAAUGUUCUUUGUAUAUGGAUGCCUCAUGUUACGAAGUUUCCGUCAGUCACAUGUCCAAUGUCAUUGACCUCAUUUUCAUGGUUCAGUGACUACUUGAAAAAAAAGUUAAGAUUUUUUUGUAAUGUUAAAUUCUCUCUUAUUAUAAGUAAUAGGAUUACUAUAUUUGGUAUGUGCGUACCUUGCAAGGUCCUCAUGCCUGUCAGACAGUUUUCACUUGACCUUGACCUCAUUUCAUGGAUCAGUGAACAAGGUUAAGUUUUGGUGGUCAAGUCCAUAUCUCAGAUACUAUAAGCAAUAGGUCUAGUAUAUUCGGUAUAUGGAAGGACUGUAAGGUGUACAUGUCUAACUGGCAGGUGUCAUCUGACCUUGACCUCAUUUUCAUGGUUCAGUGGUUAUAGUUAAGUUUUUGUGUUUUGGUCUGUUUUUCUUAUACUGUAUGCUAUAGGUCUACUAUACUUGGUGUAUGGAAUGAUUGUAAGGUGUACAUGUCCAACUGGCAGGUGUCAUGUGACCUUGACCUCAUUUUCAUGGUUCAGUGGUUAUAGUUAAGUUUUUGUGUUUUGGUCCGUUUUUCUUAUACUUUAUGCAAUAGGUCUACUAUAUUUGGUGUAUGGAAUGAUUGUAAAGUGUACAUGUCCAACUGGCAGGUGUCAUCUGACUUUGACCUCAUUUUCAUGGUUCAGUGGUCAAAGUUAAUUUUUGAGUUUUGGUCUUUUUUCUUAUACUAUAUGCAAUAAGUCAACUAUAUUUGUUGUAUGGAAGGAUUGUAAGCUGUUCAUGUCUGCCUGGCAUGGUUCAUCUGACCUUGACCUCAUUUUCACGAUUCAUUGGUCAAUGUUUAGUUUUCUUGGUUAAGUCUGUUUCUUAGAAACUAUAAGCAAUAGGUCAACUAUAUUUAGUGUAUUGAAUGAUUGUAAGGUGUACAUGUAUUUCUCGUUUGGUUUAUAUGACCUUGACUUCAUUUUCUUGGAUCAUGUUAAGUUUAUGUAGUAGUUGUAGUAAAGCUUUCAUUUAGGACUAUCAACAUAAUAUCAAUGGUUAGUAAAGAAGGCGAGACAUUUCAGCGUGUGCACUCUUGUUUUUAUAAAGGGACAUAACUCAAGAAUGGUAAAAGUGUUCUCACCAAAUUUCGUACUUAAUCUGUACUAUGUAGUAAUAUGAAUUGUGUAUAAGUUUCAUAACAUUUGGUUGAGGCAAACUAGAGUUAGAAAACAGAAACAAAAAAAUUGUACUUGAUCUUAGUUUUGUGGUAAUGAUUAUUCAAUAUUGUGUACAUAAGUUUCAGAAUGUUUGGUUGGGGCAAACUUAAGUUACAGAAUGGAAACUAAAAAUUUUGCAAUCUUUCGAUUUAUAAACGGGCAUAACUCAAUAAUGGUUAAAGUGACACUACCCAAAUUCAACUUGAUCUGUGUUUUAUCAGUGGAAGUCAAAAUUAAACAUUGCAUUGAAUAAAGCAUUGAUUGUAGUUGAUUCAACUAUAAUCAUGGACAAAGGAAGAUAACUCCAAUUUUAAAAAUUACUUGAUAUUUAGAAGAAAAUAAAAAUUUUGCUAUUUUUAUACGACCGCAAAAAAAAUUUGCGGUCGUAUAUUGGUAUGACGUUGUCAUCGUCCUCGUCCGAAGACACAUUGGUUUUCUCACUUUAACUUUAGUUUAAGUGAAUGGAUCUCUAUGAAAUUUUACCAUAAGGUUCAAUACCACAAAAGGAAGGUUGGGAUUGAUUUUGGGGGUUAUGGUACCAACAGUUGUAAGGAAUUAGGGGCCAAAAAUAAGCAUUUUUGUAACUUCCAGACAUAACUUGUGUGUUAGUGUCUGGAUCUCUCUGACAUUGUAU